rnacentral:rRNA from 1 species
UCUAUGCACAAGCCGAUUAAUGGUGAAGCCGCGAAUGGCUCAUUACAACAGCCACUGUUUACUUGAUCUUGACUAUCCUACUUGGAUAACUGUGGUAAUUCUAGAGCUAAUACACGCAAUAAAGCUCCGACCUUACGGGACGAGCGCAUUUAUUAGACCAAAACCAAUCGGGCUUCGGCCUGAAACGUUGGUGACUCUGAAUAACUGAGCUGAUCGCAUGGUCUUUGUACCGGCGACGCAUCUUUCAAGUGUCUGCCUUAUCAACUUUCGAUGGUAGUUUAUGUGCCUACCAUGGUUGUUACGGGUAACGGAGAAUAAGGGUUCGACUCCGGAGAGGGAGCCUGAGAAACGGCUACCACAUCCAAGGAAGGCAGCAGGCGCGCAAAUUACCCACUCUCGGCACGAGGAGGUAGUGACGAAAAAUAACGAGGCGGUUCUCUAUGAGGCCCGCUAUCGGAAUGGGUACAAUUUAAA